ACAGCUAAAGGUUGUGCUGCUCUGGCUUCAGUUCUGAGAUCAAACCCCUCAAACCUGAGAGAACUGGAUCUGUCUGGGAAUAAAAUACUAGAUUUGGGAAUGAAGCAUCUCUCUGAUGGACUUAAGGAUUCUCACUGUAAACUGGAGAAACUAAAGUUGAGAGAUUGUGGGGUCACAGGUGAAGGUUGUGCUGCUCUGGCUUCAGCUCUGAGAUCAAACCCUGAACACCUGAGAGAACUAGAUCUGUCUGAGAAUAAACUAAGAGAUUCAGAAGUGAAGUUACUUUCUGAUCUAAAAGAUGAUCCAAAUUAUAAACUGUCAGAACUAUACUAUUGACUGAGUAUAUAGACAUCAAUCCUGUUUCCUCAGGAUCAGCUGAUGUUGAACAAGGACCUGAUACAGAGACGUCACAAUCAGCAGAGACUGAAAUAAUUAUCAAUCUAGCACCUGUGUAUUUUACUUUAUAUUUCUCAUGGAUUGAUGUAAGACCAUUACAUUACCAGCCGGCUGGUUUUGAAAUAG